AAGUGAUCAAACCUGGAGCAGAUUUGGGUGAAGUACGAACACUUGAAUCUGGGAUGUCCUGAUGGUGUUCUUUGGCCAGCAAAGCGUGGUGAGAGCGACGCUGUACGGCUGCCAGGAUGGGCCUUGCAGUUCCACUCCUACUCUCUUGGACCAUUGUCCACGGUGUGAUGGGGAAAAGCCCAGUUUAACCUCCUGGAGGAUGAAAGACCACGUGGAGAGAAUGGCCCCAUCUUCACAGCUUUCCCAGCUGAGUCCUGCCCCAGUCUCUCCACCAGCUGGAUGUUGUCACCUGAGUGAGUUUAGAAGAAACCAACGGAAGAACUUCUAGCCAGUCCCUCCACACAAUUCUGAGAAACAGGACACUGCUGCUGUAUUAAUCAGCUGUGUUUUGUGAUGCUGGAAUAGCUGAUUAAAACAGCUCGCAGGGCCCUCCCGCGGCGGGUGAUGGUUUGGCACUUCCUUUGAUUCUCUGGCUACGCUCCUAACAGGUUGUUUUUCCUAACGAGUCAUUUUUUUCCCCUCAAGUCAACGAGUACCUAUUUCUGUUGCUUGUAGCUAAGACCAUCUAAGAGAGCCCCAAGCCAAAGGAAGAAACUCAGGGUGUUCUGGACCCCUUGGUCCGGCACCCUCCCCAUGUGGAGAGUCUCUUUCCAAAAAACAAAAACAAAAACAAAAAGUUAAGUUUUACCACAUCAUCUCUUUUUAUUUGCCAAGAUCUUUACUUA
rnacentral:lncRNA from 10 species